rnacentral:rRNA from 1 species
AUUGAACGCUGGCGGCAGGCCUAACACAUGCAAGUCGGGCGCGCGGCGGACGGGUGAGUAAUGUAUGGGGAUCUGCCUGACGGAGGGGGAUAACUACUGGAAACGGUAGCUAAUACCGCAUACCAUCAGAUGACCCCAGGUGGGAUUAGCUUGUGGGUGAGGUAACGGCUCACCUAGGCGACGAUCCCUAGCUGGUCCGAGAGGGUGAUCAGCCACACUGUGACUGAGACACGGCCCAGACACCUACGGGAGGCAGCAGUGGUGAAUAUUUCACAAUGGGCGCAAGCCUGAUGCGUCCAUGCCGCGUGUAUGAAGAAGGCCUUCGGGUUGUAAAGUUCUUUCAGUCGGGAAGCGUUACCAACAGAAGAAGCACCGGCUAACUCCGUGCCAGCAGCCGCGGUAAUAC